rnacentral:lncRNA from 1 species
GGGAAUAUUAAUGAAAUGGGCACUUUUCCAUUUCUUCCUUUCGAAAAAGGAACUCAAUACAGUAGUAAUGUACAGCUCAGCAAAAAUUCCCUAUUCAUGACAUUUCUGUCCUUUCACCACGAUCAACAACAGUUUGCUUUCCAUUACAGUGAUACCUGCAACAUCAUCUAUACACAAACAUCAACCCAUGAAGUAUCACGAGUCUUUAGGGAGAUUAAACUAUACCCUAAUAGCAUACCUUAUCAACCCAAACCGAUCAAUAAACAGAGAUCUAAUCUGGAGUUCGUCUCUUCGCCCUACUUUUUGAACGAGUCUUCCUCUGCCUUCCCGGGAAUGAAGAAACCUUCACAAAAAUUUUUAAUUGUCCCACACAAUUUUGUGAACUUGCUUUAUUCAACGAUUUCAAUAAACUCUUACUCUGACUUCCCUAAUUAACCCAAUCAUCAGAACAGUAAAAACGAAUCCCUAAUUUCGUUCUUCAGCGCCGAAGUUUGGACACCGAUAAUAUCAUCUGAGAAAAGGGCAGAACAGACUUUUUACCCUUGUUGAAUACCUGUU